GAUUAACGCUGGCGGCGUGCAUAACACAUGCAAGUCGAACGAUGAAACUUUUUUGAUUUCUUCGGAAUGAUUAAAAGUGGAUUAGUGGCGGACGGGUGAGUAACGCGUGAGUAACCUGCCUUAGAGAAGGGGAUAGCCUUUGGAAACGAAGAAUAAUACCCUAUGAAACCAUAACCUCGCAUGAGGAAUUGGUCAAAGAUUUAUCGCUCUAAGAUGGACUUGCGUCUGAUUAGUUAGUUGGUGGGGUAACGGCCCACCAAGACAGCGAUCAGUAGCCGGCUUGAGAGAGUGUACGGCCACAUUGGGACUGAGACACGGCCCAGACUCCUACGGGAGGCAGCAGUUGGGAAUUUUGCACAAUGGGGGAAAACCUGAUGCAGCGACGCCGCGUGAUUUAGAAGGCCUUCGGGUUGUAAAAAUCUUUUCUAUGGGAAGAAAAUGACAGUACCAUAGGAAUAAGGACCGGCUAAUUACGUG
rnacentral:rRNA from 1 species